GCCGGCCGAAGCCCGGGCCUCUCUCCCUCCGCCCCCUGAGGAGCGCGCGCCCCGAGCAGGGAAGAAAUUUCUACCAGGAUUCACGGAGGAGGAGAGCAUUGUGUGAGCACACUGGCGAGAGAACCUGGCCUCUGCCUCACACACAGCCAGGCCCUGAGCUCAGCACCCGGGAGGACCCCGCUGCCGCCUCUUCCCGGGCGGCUGUCAGCUGCCAGGGUACAGGUACACUGCUCCCCUUGACAGGUGUGGGUUUGCCUUUUGCGAACAGCCUGGUCUUGUAUCGGCUGCCAAGGUUCUCCUUUUGGAAAGAAAGCCUGGCUGUGCUCUGGGAGGCCUGUCUGUGGGCUCCGCUCAGAGGAGCGCAGCUGAGCUGAGCUGAGCCCCGCCGCAUCCUGUGCUGCCCCUGCCCUUCAGCCCUGCGGGCACCUGGACGCCACCUGGCCAGGACACAUGGCAGGAGCUCCACUGCCUCCUCUCCUCUCCUCCACAGGGGAGGUGUGGGGAAAGCAGUCAAGCCCGCGGUGAUUGUGAGGGGCUCUGCUGGAAUUUGGCAGUGCGAAGCCUUGGAGCGCAGCCCCAUGCUGGCUCCUAUUCAGCGGCCGGUUCCCCUCCAGCUCUGGAAGUUUCACUCAGCCGUGCACUCAAUGGCUCCACAAAGCUGAUUACAAGCUUCAGCGCAUUCCUGAAGGAGCCAAAGCGACGCAGGUGCAAACGAGCCGAGGGAGCCCCUUAUCCCGGUGACAGAAUGGGACAAGCUGGGAAAGGCGCGGACCACACAAAUCCAGGCUCACCAGGCAGCAGAAAGCCUGCCUUGGGAACCGGGGUCUUCGU